rnacentral:rRNA from 1 species
AGCAGCCGCGGUAAUUCCAGCUCCAAUAGCGUAUAUUAAAGUUGUUGCAGUUAAAAAGCUCGUAGUUGAAUUUCGGGGUUAGUAAGUUGGUCAUGCCUUCGGUAUGUACUGGCUUUACUGAUUCCUCCUUCUUGACGAACCGUGAUGUCAUUAAUUUGGUGUUGCGGGAAAUCAGGACUGUUACUUUGAAAAAAUUAGAGUGUUUAAAGCAGGCUAACGCUUGAAUACAUUAGCAUGGAAUAAUGAAAUAGGACGUUAAUCCUAUUUUGUUGGUUUCUAGGAUCGACGUAAUGAUUAAUAGGGAUAGUUGGGGGCAUUAGUAUUCAAUUGUCAGAGGUGAAAUUCUUGGAUUUAUUGAAGACUAACUACUGCGAAAGCAUUUGCCAAGGAUGUUUUCAUUAAUCAAGAACGAAAGUUAGGGGAUCGAAGACGAUCAGAUACCGUCGUAGU